UACGUAGGGUGCGAGCGUUAUCCGGAAUUAUUGGGCGUAAAGAGCUCGUAGGCGGUUUGUCGCGUCUGUCGUGAAAGUCCGGGGCUUAACCCCGGAUCUGCGGUGGGUACGGGCAGACUAGAGUGCAGUAGGGGAGACUGGAAUUCCUGGUGUAGCGGUGGAAUGCGCAGAUAUCAGGAGGAACACCGAUGGCGAAGGCAGGUCUCUGGGCUGUAACUGACGCUGAGGAGCGAAAGCGUGGGGAGCGAACAGG
rnacentral:rRNA from 1 species